AUGCAGGCGCGCGCGUUUCCCCCGUGCCUGCCGGGCCCCGGGCGCAACGACCUCUUCCUCGGCAGCGUCGGCAAGAGAGCUCCUGCCGUGCGCGUCCGGGCCGUUGACGGGCCUUCGGCCGCCGCAGUUGCCGACCUCCCGCCCGCGGAGGUCACCUGGCAGAUCGUCGUCGGUGCUGUAGCUGGAGUGACGCCCUUCGUCGUUGCAGGGGUCGAGUUCAGCAAAAGAAUUAUUGAACAAAAGAAAUGUGAGAUCUGUGGAGGCUCUGGCCUCGUGAUGAAGGAAGAUUUGUAUGUUCGAUGCCAAGGGUGUGGUGGUUUUCUUCCAUGGCAGUCGUGGAGAAGAUUCUUCAAAGGUUGA
rnacentral:rRNA from 1 species